rnacentral:rRNA from 1 species
UACGUAGGGUGCGAGCGUUGUCCGGAAUUAUUGGGCGUAAAGAGCUUGUAGGUGGUUUUGUCGCGUCUGCUGUGAAAAAUCCGAGGCUCAACCUCGGACUUGCAGUGGGUACGGGCAGACUAGAGUGUGGUAGGGGGAGACUGGAAUUCCUGGUGUAGCGGUGGAAUGCGUAGAUAUCGGAAAGGAAACAUCAGUGGCGAAAAGCGGCUUCCUGGAC